CGCAGGGCCCACACACGGCUCUGCAGCCACUUCCAGUCAAGGCCUGGGUCACGGAAACCACACGGCGCCUUCCUGUAGAAGCAAGAGAAGGGAGCUGGCUUCCUCGAGAUGCCUGUUACUUCGGCGACGGUGCGUGCACUAUCUUAUUUAAUCACUCGACACGAGGGUGUUCGCAAAAAGAAGAGGGCUGGAUGGUGGGUCUGCAUGUCUCUCUGCAGAUAAAAAGUUGGAAUCCACUGCCCCACAUUACACUUUGAGUUACUCUAUGAAGGUUUGUUGAUGUCAAUAUCAGGAACUCAAAGAAUUGCCUGCCGCAGGAAACUUGACCCCCAAAACACAUCAUGCUACAACAGCCACUUGGCCACGGGCCAGAGCAGCUUCCUGGAACACGCUUGCUCAAAAACAGGGAGAGACGUCAGCUUGACCUCUGCUUUGUGCGCAGGAAAGCUGACCUUCAACCAGCGAACCUCAGCCCCAGCGCCCCUCCCUCUUGUCAUAGUCUCGCCUGUCGUCAGGCCCUGGGCCAGCCAGAGAGGCUGGGCGCAACGCCUGGCUCCUGCUGCCCGGGCCGCGCGGGGACGCGGACUGCUCGUUCUGCCUGGAGACCUGCUGAGUUUCGUUCUGAACAACGGCUCUGCCAAAGUAAACCGAGACAGAGAGUUAAAGAAAUAACAAAAUGACAAAACAGCUCCUUUUUCUGUACAGGACUCAAGAUUCAUGGUGAGAAGGAGCCAUUUAAUUUCAAAACCAAGGCUCUGGAGCCAGUGUUGUGGCACAGUGGGAAAAGCUGCUGCCAGCGACACAGGCAUCCCGUACGGGUGCUGGUUCACGUCCCAGCUAAGCCACUUCUGAUCCAGCUCCCUGCUCAUGACCUGGGAAGAGCAGUGGAAGAUGGCCCAAGUGCUUGGGCCCCUGCCACCCACGUGGGAGACCUGGAUGCAGCUUCUGGCUCCCAGCUUCUGCCCGCCCCACUGACCAUCUGUGGAGUGAACCAGCAGGUGGAAGCUCUCAUUCUCUCCCCCACCCUCUGU